CAAGUGGUUGAAGAGAAGACGUCCACUUCCAAAGGGGCAGAGGAAGAAGAAGCAGUAGCUAGUAAGAAGGAAGCGGUACAGGAUGAAGCUGAAAAAGACGUAGUAAUACCGCCGGGUAAGGAAGCUGGAAGUGAAGUAGUAGCUUUACCUGGUAAGGAUGAAGCUGGAAACGAAGAAGUAGGAGUACCACCUGGUCAGGACGAAGAAGCAGGAGCUGCUCACGACAAGGAUAUAGUGCCACCUGGUAAGGAUGAAAGAAAAGAGGAAGUAGUACCACCUGGUAAGAAUGAAGCUGAAAACGAUGAAGCUACGGCUGAAGGUGAAAACGAAGCAGCAGUAGCAGUACCACAUGGUAAAAUUGAAGCUGCUGAAGCUGGAAACGAAGCAAUAGCAGUACCUCAUGGUAAGAAUGAAGUUGAAAACGAUGAAGCUGCGGCUGAAGCUGGAAACGAAGCAGAACCUGGUAAGGAUGAAAACAGCGAGAGCAUCGAACCUGUAGGCGAGACUGGUGGAGACACCGAUAUCCUUCAGAAGGUACGAUUGAUUUACGAUAUCUUUGUACUCGUGAUAUAUCUAUUGCGCAGGUUGAAAACAACGUCGACACGAAUGAGACGGGAGCAUCGAAACCUCGAAGUACGGCGGAGGCUGCAGAGGGUAGUAAUAAAGUCUCAAGUGAGAAGGUGGACUUUGGGGCUCUGGAUCCUGACGAGGCCAGGAACGCCCAAAGCAAGGAAGAAAGUGGACAAGGUGAACCUGCUCGUGAUCAGGCUGCCGCUGCCGACGUAUCUUUGGAUGCUGGAGAAUUACAUGUCGAGCCAUCACCAGAUGUCGAUA
rnacentral:lncRNA from 1 species